UACUCCCUCUGUCCGAAAAAGCUUGUCCCAAGCUUGUACCUCAAAUGAAUGUAUCUAGCACUAACUUGAUGCUAGAUACAUCCAUUUGAGAGACAAGUUUUUUCGGACGGAGGGAGUACUCCUGUUCUUUUCUUUGAAUUGAUAUGCCUUGCUGGUUACUGCUAUGGCACUGGCUGGUUUUGUAUGUGCUUUGUUUUGUUUCUUGUUUUUAACUUUCUGCUUGAUUGUUAGUUUCAGUUUGGAGGUGAGCCGUUGAAACCCUCUGUGCUGCUGGAUACUGAUGCUACUGUUUGGUUCAUUCAUAAGUCCUUGGCUUCAUUGUUCUCUAUGGUGUUUGCUGGACUACUAUUGGGUGUGGAGCUAUUAACUGAUGCUGGUUUACCUUAGCGACUUAGCCCAAUAUGGCUAACUAAAUCAACAGCAAGCAGAGCUUGAAGUUGUCUUCGUCGCAACCGUCGAUGUCAGCUUCCAACUGUCAUUACAACUCUCAGAAGGCAGGUUUCUAUCGAAAGUGCUGUUCUGUCCUCCCGUCUGUUCCGCUUGGGAUUCACGAUGGAAAGCGUAUAGGCUCAGGUAUAAAUUCAGUAUACACAUACUAGCAAGUGGUACGUGCAUGGCACGCAGGAAGUAGGAACAAAGUGUACAAGAAUUUAUAGGACUCGAAACAGUUACCUGUGUGUUUCUUGGAAUGUUUUUUUAACAGUUAGCAUACCAGUUUGGCGUCUUUCCUUUCGGGAAUGAUUAGCAUCCACUGGCGGAUUGCUCCCAAACGUCAACCACCUCCAUCGUCUACCAUGUGUCCAUGUGGCCCCACCUGUUCUUCACCUUUCCUUCCCUGGAAACAUCUCGAUCAUAUCACUCUCUGUCUCACCUAGGAACAGUUGCAGGGUCUCGGCUUGCGGGGGUAUCGAUUUUGAAAAGAGUAAAUUUCUGCAACAAGACCUCCGUUGCGGAAUAAUUCCGCAACAAGACCUUUGUUGAG